GGGGGCGUAGCUCAAUUGGUUAGAGUACCAGCCUGUCACGCUGGGUGUUGCGGGUUCGAGUCCCGUCGCUCCCGCCA
rnacentral:tRNA from 1 species